rnacentral:rRNA from 1 species
CUGAACUUAAGCAUAUCAAUAAGCGGAGGAAAAGAAACUAACAAGGAUUCCCCUAGUAACUGCGAGUGAAGCGGGAAAAGCUCAAAUUUAAAAUCUGGCAGUUUCGGCUGUCCGAGUUGUAAUCUGGAGAAGCGUUUUCCGCGUUGGACCGUGUACAAGUUUCCUGGAACGGAGCGUCAUAGAGGGUGAGAAUCCCGUCUUUGACACGGACCCCAAUGCUUUGUGAUACGCUCUCAAAGAGUCGAGUUGUUUGGGAAUGCAGCUCAAAAUGGGUGGUGAAUUCCAUCUAAAGCUAAAUAUUGGCGAGAGACCGAUAGCGAACAAGUACCGUGAGGGAAAGAUGAAAAGCACUUUGGAAAGAGAGUUAAACAGUACGUGAAAUUGUUGAAAGGGAAACGCUUGAAGUCAGUCGCGUUGGCCGGGACUCAGCCUUGCUUCCGCUUGGUGUACUUUCCGGUCGACGGGCCAGCAUCAAUUUUGACCGCGGGAUAAAGUCCAGGGGAAGGUGGCUCUUCGGAGUGUUAUAGCCUCUGGUCACAUGCCGCGGUUGGGAUUGAGGAAUUCAGCACGCCUUUAAUUAGGUUCGGGGUUCGCCCACGUUCGUGCUUAGGAUGCUGGCGUAAUGGCUUUAAACGACCCGUCUUGAAACACGGACCAAGGAGUCUAACAUGCCUGCGAGUGUUCGGGUGGAAAACCCGUGCGCGUAAUGAAAGUGAAAGUUGGGAUCCCUGUCGUGGGGUGCACCGACGCCCGGACCAGAACUUCUGUGACGGAUCUGCGGUAGAGCAUGUAUGUUGGGACCCGAAAGAUGGUGAACUAUGCCUGAAUAGGGUGAAGCCAGAGGAAACUCUGGUGGAGGCUCGUAGCGAUUCUGACGUGCAAAUCGAUCGUCAAAUUUGGGUAUAGGGGCGAAAGACUAAUCGAACCAUCUAGUA